ACGGGAGGCAGCAGUGGGGAAUAUUGGGCAAUGGGCGCAAGCCUGACCCAGCAACGCCGCGUGAAGGAAGAAGGCUUUCGGGUUGUAAACUUCUUUUGUCAGGGAAGAGUAGAAGACUGUACCUGGCGAAUAAGCCACGGCUAACUACGUGCCAGCAGCCGCGGUAAUACGUAGGGAGCGAGCGUUGUCCGGAAUUACUGGGUGUAAAGGGAGCGUAGGCGGGACUGCAAGUCAGAUGUGAAAUGCCGGGGCUUAACCCCGGAGCUGCAUUUGAAACUGUGGUUCUUGAGUGAAGUAGAGGCAAGCGGAAUUCCUGGUGUAGCGGUGAAAUGCGUAGAUAUCAGGAGGAACACCGGUGGCGAAGGCGGCUUGCUGGGCUUUUACUGACGCUGAGGCUCGAAAGCGUGGGUAGCAAACAGGAUUAGAUACCCUGGUA
rnacentral:rRNA from 1 species